CCACGGUGCUGAAGCAACAAAUGCCCUGCUUCCAGGAAAAGCCUCUAAGCAUCAGGUAACAUCAAAUCGUACCCCAAACCGACACAGGUGGUCAGGUAGAGAAUACCAAGGCGCUUGAGAGAACUCGGGUGAAGGAACUAGGCAAAAUGGUGCCGUAACUUCGGGAGAAGGCACGCUGACACGUAGGUGAAGUGAUUUACUCACGGAGCUGAAGUCAGUCGAAGAUACCAGCUGGCUGCAACUGUUUAUUAAAAACACAGCACUGUGCAAACACGAAAGUGGACGUAUACGGUGUGACGCCUGCCCGGUGCCGGAAGGUUAAUUGAUGGGGUCAGCGCAAGCGAAGCUCCUGAUCGAAGCCCCGGUAAACGGCGGCCGUAACUAUAACGGUCCUAAGGUAGCGAAAUUCCUUGUCGGGUAAGUUCCGACCUGCACGAAUGGCGUAAUGAUGGCCAGGCUGUCUCCACCCGAGACUCAGUGAAAUUGAACUCGCUGUGAAGAUGCAGUGUACCCGCGGCAAGACGGAAAGACCCCGUGAACCUUUACUAUAGCUUGACACUGAACAUUGAGCCUUGAUGUGUAGGAUAGGUGGGAGGCUUUGAAGCGUGGACGCCAGUCUGCGUGGAGCCGACCUUGAAAUACCACCCUUUAAUGUUUGAUGUUCUAACGUGGACCCGUAAUCCGGGUUGCGGACAGUGUCUGGUGGGUAGUUUGACUGGGGCGGUCUCCUCCUAAAGAGUAACGGAGGAGCACGAAGGUUGGCUAAUCCUGGUCGGACAUCAGGAGGUUAGUGCAAUGGCAUAAGCCAGCUUGACUGCGAGCGUGACGGCGCGAGCAGGUGCGAAAGCAGGUCAUAGUGAUCCGGUGGUUCUGAAUGGAAGGGCCAUCGCUCAACGGAUAAAAGGUACUCCGGGGAUAACAGGCUGAUACCGCCCAAGAGUUCAUAUCGACGGCGGUGUUUGGCACCUCGAUGUCGGCUCAUCACAUCCUGGGGCUGAAGUAGGUCCCAAGGGUAUGGCUGUUCGCCAUUUAAAGUGGUACGCGAGCUGGGUUUAGAACGUCGUGAGACAGUUCGGUCCCUAUCUGCCGUGGGCGCUGGAGAAUUGAGGGGGGCUGCUCCUAGUACGAGAGGACCGGAGUGGACGCAUCACUGGUGUUCGGGUUGUCAUGCCAAUGGCACUGCCCGGUAGCUAAAUGCGGAAAAGAUAAGUGCUGAAAGCAUCUAAGCACGAAACUUGCCCCGAGAUGAGUUCUCCCUGAGACCUUGAGUCUCCUGAAGGAACGUUAAAGACGAUGACGUUGAUAGGCCGGGUGUGUAAGCGCAGCGAUGCGUUGAGCUAACCGGUACUAAUGAACCGUGAGGCUUAACCUUACAACGCCGAAG
rnacentral:rRNA from 1 species